ACGUUAUGCAUGAACGUAAAGCUCAUAACUUCCCYCYAGACCUAGCUGCUGUAGAAGCUCCAUCUAUAAAUGGAUAAGGUUUUGGUCUUAGUGUAUACGAGUUUAUGAAAGUAAAGGAGCAAUAAUAAAUCUCUUAUUUUAUCAAAUCAAGAGUUUUAUAUUGCUCCUUUAUCUUUACUUUCAAUUUGAUAUUCAAAUAAAAAAAAAAAAGAAAAUACUUAAUUUGAAAUUUAGUAUUUGAAUUAAUACAAAAUCAGGGGCGGAUGUAGCCAAG
rnacentral:misc_RNA from 1 species